UGUCAAGUUUCAAAGAGCACACGGUGGAUGCCUUGGCAAUAGGAGCCGAAGAAGGACGUAGCAAUCUGCGAUAAGCCUCGGGGAGCCGAUAAGCGGGCCCUGAUCCGAGGAUUUCCGAAUGGGGAAACCCAGCCAGACUCGAUCUGGUUACUCCUGCCUGAAUGUAUAGGGCAGGUAGAGGGAACGUGGGGAAGUGAAACAUCUCAGUACCCACAGGAAGAGAAAACAACAGUGAUUCCGUUAGUAGUGGCGAGCGAACGCGGAAGAGGCUAAACCAAUCAUGUGUGAUAGCCGGCAGGCGUUGCAUGUUUGGGGUUGUGGGACUUUUCAGCAGUUCUGCCGAUCUGCAAGAGUAGGUAUGUUGUGUAGACGAAUGAUCUUGAACGAUCAGUCAUAGAGGGUGCGAACCCCGUAGUCGAAACGCUGCAGCCGCUCGAGAAGUAUCCCAAGUAGUACGGAACCCGUGAAAUUCUGUGCGAAUCUGCGAGGACCACCUCGUAAGCCUAAAUACUACCUAUUGACCGAUAGCGGACAAGUACCGUGAGGGAAAGGUGAAAAGUACCCCGGGAGGGGAGUGAAAUAG
rnacentral:rRNA from 1 species